GAGUUUGCAGGUAGUGGAAGAUGGGUAUGAGUUUUUCGCAAAACGGAGAUUAGUCACAAUAUUCUCAGCUCCAAACUAUGGUGGAGAGUUUGACAAUGCCGGUGCAUUAUUGAGCGUGGAUCAAUCUCUCGUUUGCUCCUUUGAGAUUCUGAAACCGGCUCCAGCUUCUACCAGUAAUCCUCUCAAGAAGGUACCAAAAAUGGGGAAGUCUUGAAACUCAAUAAAGCUUAUCAGGCUAGGCUCGGUGCAUUUCUUCAGAUGUAGGUAAACUGCAAUGAAGAGGAGAACCUCAAAAGGCUACUUUACUUAGUCAUCAAAGAAGAAGAAGCAUCUGUAGAAAAAAACAAGAGAGAGAGAGAGAAAAAAAAACAAAGGUUGUUAAUCCAAAUAUUCUGUGUAUAGUUGCAGAAACAUCUCUUUUCUGCUUCUGGAGAUUGUCAUCAUCUCCUUUUGGUCUGUUCUAUUUGUCUUUCUUGUUUCGGUUACUUUUCUUUUUUUUUUACGCCUUAGUUUUAACUUAGAGUGGCCUCUCCUCUUUUUGCUUUUAAUUUUCUUGUAUCAUCAAAUUCCCACAUUUCUUAAUCUUUUUUCCAUAUUGAAUUUGACUUUCAAGGUUUGGCUCUUUACU